UACGUAGGGUGCGAGCGUUAAUCGGAAUUACUGGGCGUAAAGCGUGCGCAGGCGGUUCGUUGUGUCGGCGGUGAAAGCCCCCGGGCUCAACCUGGAAACUGCCCCUGAUACUAUUAGUCUUGAAUAUUGAUGAGGUGGGCGGAACGGGUCAUGUAGCGGUGAAUGACUUAGAGAUGACCCGGAACACCAAUUGCGAAGGCAGCUCACUGGGCAAUUAUUGACGCUGAGGCACGAAAGCGUGGGGAUCAACAGG
rnacentral:rRNA from 1 species